GACAAAAAUUAAUUUCAGAUAAAUCAAAAUCCUAAUCAUAAAGCUAAGUCAUAAAUACAGGAGAAUUUACUGAUGAUGUGGGGACUGGUAGUCUCUAUACAAGCUGUAAAAAGUGGGACGAGAAGGAAAAAUUCUGUACUUAAUGUUCUGUAUUUAAUUUAAAUUUUUUAAAUGUUCAUUAAAAGAUACCACUAAGAAAAUGAGUAAGUCAAGCCAAUCGUGGUUAUCACAGGCCUAUAAUUCUAGCUGUUCAUGAAGCUGAAGCACAAAGAUUGCAAAUUUAAUAGCAGCCUGGGAAACAUAGUGAGACCCUAUCUAAAACUUGGGAAAUAUAUUUAAAGGAGCUAUAGGUCAGUGGUAGAGCACUUGUGGAGCCCUGAGAAAGGGAGAUGAGAAAAAAAUUAAUAGACCAAGUCCCAGGUUUUGCAGUAUAUAAUUAACAGAGGAAUUAUGGUAAGAAUCUAAAAAGAACUAUUUAAGGAAUUUUUAAAAACUUUUUAUGUAUAGAUGUUUGGUAUAUCUAUGAACCACCUGCAUAUGUUAUCUACAUAGGCCAGAAGAGGGCAGCAGAUCUCCCUGGCACUACUAGAGUUAUAGAAGAUUGUGAGCCACCAUGUGGGUGUUGAGAACCAAACAGGGGUCCUCUGCAAGAGCAGUAAGUGCUCUCAAUAGCUGAGCCACUGCCCCAUCCCCUAUAAAGAAGUGAUUCAUAAUUCAAUAAACAUGUGUGUGUAUAUGUAUGUAUACAUAUAUGUGUGUGUAUAUAUUUAUACAUACACACACACACACACACAUAUAUGUGUGUAUGGACAAGAUGCUAAAAACCAUUUAUUUUGCUUUCAAAACCCUCUGGAAUGACUACAAAAAUAAAAAAUAAAAUAAUUAAUGUGGGUAAAUAUGGAUAGAAAUAGUAGCUCUUCCACAUUAAUGUGCAGGUUAUAAAAUGGUACAGCCACUUUGGAAAACAAUUUUGUCAGUUUCUUAAAAAGGUAAAUAUAGGGGGUCUCUGGGGGGUGGGACCAGGAAAGAGGGUAACAUUUGAAAUGUAAAUAAAGAAAAUAUCC
rnacentral:lncRNA from 1 species